rnacentral:rRNA from 1 species
UACGUAGGGUGCAAGCGUUAAUCGGAAUUACUGGGCGUAAAGCGUGCGCAGGCGGUUGUGUAAGACAGAUGUGAAAUCCCCGGGCUCAACCUGGGAACUGCAUUUGUGACUGCACGGCUGGAGUGCGGCAGAGGGGGAUGGAAUUCCGCGUGUAGCAGUGAAAUGCGUAGAUAUGCGGAGGAACACCGAUGGCGAAGGCAAUCCCCUGGGCCUGCACUGACGCUCAUGCACGAAAGCGUGGGGAGCAAACAGG